rnacentral:tRNA from 1 species
GGGCCUAUAGCUCAGCUGGUUAGAGCGCACGGCUGAUAACCGUGAGGUCAGUGGUUCGAAUCCACUUAGGCCCACCA